rnacentral:rRNA from 1 species
GAUGAACGUUGGCGGCGUGCCUAACACAUGCAAGUCGAACGGAAAUAGCAAUAUUUGAGUGGCGCACGGGUGAGUAACACGUAGCUAAUCUACCUCAAAGCGCGGGAUAACGUGUCGAAAGACAGGCUAAUACCGCAUAAGCUCCCGGUCUGUAGAGGAUUGGGGGAAAAGGCGCAAGUCACUUUGAGAUGAGGCUGCGGCCCAUCAGCUAGUUGGUGCGGUAAUGGCGUACCAAGGCGACGACGGGUAGGGGACCUGAGAGGGUGACCCCCCACACUGGGACGUGAGACACGGCCCAGACUCCUACGGGAGGCGAGCAGUGAGGAAUAUUGCACAAUGGGCGAAAGACCUGAUGCAGCGACGCCGCGUGGGUGGAAG